GGGGCCGAUCGGUAUCGACCGGAUAGCUCCGGUAUAUUGUGGCACGUCGAGGUGUACGUUGGCCUCGUAAAACUACGUACAAAAACCAUAAAUGCCAAUGACAACAACGUCAUCGGUCGCAUCGGCUUUGGUCAAACUCAGCCCAUGCGCAUGGCUGCCUGAUACAGGCACCCGCGUUUUGCAGUGACUCGUCUGUGGAAUCUGUAAAACGACGACUUAGCAGACUCGUCCAAUCAUGACGCCUUAGCAUGUGCGGACUAAACCUUACUCAGGCUCGAACCCGCGAAUGCUGUCGCUGGCAGUCAACGGUUCUAAACUCAAAACAGUGACUAAACGUGUAGAGGCAAUACACCAACUACCACGGGACGGGGGUUCAAUUCCCCCCGGCUCCAA
rnacentral:tmRNA from 1 species